rnacentral:rRNA from 1 species
GACGUAGGGGGGCAAGCGUUGUCCGGAAUCAUUGGGCGUAAAGCGCGCGUAGGUGGCCCCGUAAGUCCGCUGUGAAAGUCAAAGGCUCAACCUUUGAAAGCCGGUGGAUACUGUGGGACUAGAGUACGGAAGAGGCGAGUGGAAUUCCUGGUGUAGCGGUGGAAUGCGCAGAUAUCAGGAGAAACACCAAUAGCGAAGGCAGCUCGCUGGGACGGUACUGACGCUGAGACGCGAAAGCGUGGGGAGCAAACAGG